CAUGCUGCUGCCCUGCGUGCGGAGCGUGGCCGUUCGCCGCCUCGCCCGGGACGUGCCCCGGGCCUGCAGCUGCUCGGCGCAGGGCCCCUCGCCGCGGGGCUACAGCCGCGGCUCGGCCGGGAAGGGUCUUGUUCUGGGAGCCUACUCUAGUGAAAAGGAUGAUGGUGCUUCCCAGUUGACUAGUGCAGGAGAUGCUUUUGAUAGGCUUGUGUCUGGAAAGCUGAGAGCACUUCUUUCCCUGUGUGGGCCACCUUUGAAGAAAGGCAAAACACGCAUAUUUCAUGGUUUGCAUCAGGACUUCCCAAGUGUGGCAGUAGUUGGCCUGGGUAAGAAGAAUGCUGGAAUAAAUGAACAAGAAAACUGGAAUGAAGGCAAAGAAAAUAUUCGUACAGCUGUUGCAGUUGGCUGCAGGCAGAUCCAGGACCUGGAGAUCCCUUGUGUGGAAGUAGACCCCUGUGGAGAUGCACAAGCAGCUGCAGAAGGUGCUGUCCUUGGAUUGCAUGAAUAUAAUGAGCUGAAGCAAAAAAAGAAGCCUGUAGUUACUCCUCAGCUUCAUGGAAGUGCUGAAAGUGGUGCCUGGCAAAAAGGUGUUAUCUACGCUGAGGGGCAGAACCUUGCUCGGUACCUUAUGGAGGCUCCAGCUAAUUAUAUAACUCCAAUCAAGUUUGCUGAACAUAUUGAACAGAAGCUCAGAAGUUUCAGCAAUGUAAAGGUGCACAUAAGACAGGAGUCUUGGAUAACAACACAAGAGAUGGGAGCAUUCCUGAGUGUAGCUAAGGGUUCAGCUGAACCUCCCAUCUUCCUGGAGAUUCACUAUUUAGGGAGUCCUAAUACAGAUGACUCCCCGUUGGUAUUUGUAGGAAAAGGAGUUACAUUUGACAGUGGUGGCAUUUCACUGAAGCCAUCAUCGGGUAUGGAUGCAAUGAGAGCAGAUAUGGGAGGAGCAGCAACUGUCUGUUCAGCCAUUGUGACAGCAGCAGCUCUAAAUCUACCUUUGAACAUAAUUGGUUUGGCACCGCUCUGUGAAAAUAUGCCAAGUGGUAAGGCAAACAAGCCUGGGGAUGUAGUUAGAGCCAAGAAUGGAAAAACAAUACAGGUAGAUAACACAGAUGCAGAAGGAAGACUGCUGUUAGCUGAUGCUCUCUGUUAUGCCCACAAUUUUAAUGCAAAGGCUAUUGUGAAUGCUGCAACCUUAACAGGUGCCAUGGAUGUUGCAUUGGGAUCUGCUGCAACUGGAGUGUUCACAAAUUCAUCUUGGCUUUGGACUCACCUCUAUGAGGCCAGCAUUUUGACAGGGGACAGAGUUUGGAGGAUGCCUCUUUUUGAGCAUUACACAAAACAAGUCACAGACUGUCCUCUUGCAGAUGUGAGUAACAUUGGAAAGUACAGCAGAGCUGGAGGAGCAUGCACAGCUGCUGCAUUCCUGAAGGAAUUUGUGACUGCCUCUCACUGGGCUCAUUUGGAUAUAGCUGGGGUGAUGUCCAAUAAAGAUGAGGUGCCGUAUCUUCGGAAGGGCAUGGCAGGGCGGCCCACGAGAACACUCGUUGAGUUUGCAGCUCGAUUAAGUCAAGACAGUCACAAUGCCAAAUAAAAAUACUUGUUCUAAAAUCAUCCACUCUGCCUUAAGGAAAAAAAAUCUUAAAAGGUGCGAGGAGAACGGUGCCUGACGGCUCUCAGCGGCGCCCAGCGCCAGGCCGAGGAGCGAUGGCCGUGACCGAGCCC